rnacentral:rRNA from 1 species
UUAACCGGAUUAGAUACCCUGGUAGUCCACGCCCUAAACGAUGUCUACUAGUUGUCGGGUCUUAAUUGACUUGGUAACGCAGCUAACGCGUGAAGUAGACCGCCUGGGGAGUACGGUCGCAAGAUUAAAACUCAAAGGAAUUGACGGGGACCCGCACAAGCGGUGGAUGAUGUGGAUUAAUUCGAUGCAACGCGAAAAACCUUACCUACCCUUGACAUGCCACUAACGAAGCAGAGAUGCAUUAGGUGCUCGAAAGAGAAAGUGGACACAGGUGCUGCAUGGCUGUCGUCAGCUCGUGUCGUGAGAUGUUGGGUUAAGUCCCGCAACGAGCGCAACCCUUGAUCUUAGUUGCCAGCAUUCAGUUGGGCACUCUAAGGUGACUGCCGGUGACAAACCGGAGGAAGGUGGGGAUGACGU